rnacentral:rRNA from 1 species
CCUACGGGAGGCAGCAGUGGGGAAUUUUGGACAAUGGGCGCAACCCUGAUCCAGCCAUGCCGCGUGAGUGAAGAAGGCCUUCGGGUUGUAAAGCUCUUUCUACCGGGAAGAAAUGGCAUGCGUUAAUACCCGUGGUGGAUGACGGUACCGUAAGAAUAAGCCCCG